AUGUAAUCUUCCUUCUAAUAGCGCAACUCCUCCCACUCAUUCAUAAUCCGACCUCCGCGUUUGCACUCGUCCUACAAGAGCUCCCAAAUUUGAACAUCACUGAUGUUCAUCGGAUUUACAGAGUGACGACAAACCCCGUCAGCAUGUUAGAUAAAGGAUUUAAGUUAUAUGCUGCAUCAUAUAUACACAACUACGAAGGAGUGGAUUCUACAGAGGCAUUGUGGGUCCAUUACCAGAUCCCUGACCUGACAAGCCCCUUGUGGAAAGUGCCUUUGGGCUGGUGCAGGAGGGCAGUGUUCUGUCAUGUCAGCAGCCGGUUUUGACAACCCGGCACAUCACACUACACCGUGAUGCACCACCAACACCGCACUUGCCUCUGGAGG
ensembl:lncRNA